UCCUUCAGUUUUCAAAUUUCUCGUUGAUGAAGUGGAAGAAGACGAAACAGCGGCGUCUGAAGGCUCACUGUCAUUCACAAGUGGCUCCAGUCUGGUUUGGGGGUUCUGCCAUCCAAGUAAAGUUAUUCACAAGUGGCUCCAGUCUGGUUUGGGGGUCUACGCUUUCUCAUCCUG